AGCAAACGCUGGCGGCGUGCCUAAUACAUGCAAGUCGAACGGGGAAAGUAGCAAUACGAGUACUAGUGGCGCACGGGUGAGGAACACGUGGGUAAUCUGCCUUCGAGCGGGGGAUAACUAAUCGAAAGAUUGGCUAAUACCGCAUAAGACCACAAGAUCUGCGGAUCUAGGGGUCAAGGCCGCAAGGCACUUGAAGAUGAGCCCGCGUAAGAUUAGCCAGUUGGUGAGGUAACGGCUCACCAAGGCGAUGAUCUUUAGCUGGUCUGAGAGGAUGAUCAGCCACACUGGAACUGAGACACGGUCCAGACUCCUACGGGAGGCAGCAGUAGGGAAUAUUGCGCAAUGGGGGCAACCCUGACGCAGCGACGCCGCGUGAGUGAUGAAGGCCUUCGGGUCGUAAAGCUCUGUUAUAUGGGAAUAAGAUCUGAAUGUACCAUGUGAGAAAGGAUCGGCUAACUUCGUGCCAGCCGCCGCAGUAA
rnacentral:rRNA from 1 species